rnacentral:rRNA from 1 species
UACCAGCACCCCGAGUGGUCGGGACGUUUAUUGGGCCUAAAGCAUCCGUAGCCGGUUCUAUAAGUCUUCCGUUAAAUCCAACUGCUUAACAGGUGGGCUGCGGAAGAUACUAUAGAGCUAGGAGGCGGGAGAGGCAAGCGGUACUCGAUGGGUAGGGGUAAAAUCCGUUGAUCCAUUGAAGACCACCAGUGGCGAAGGCGGCUUGCCAGAACGCGCUCGACGGUGAGGGAUGAAAGCUGGGGGAGCAAACCGG